UGGUAAAGAAAACCACAAAAUCAUACUUGUGUGCAAUAGCUAUCCACACCGUAUCAGUAUUUACAACCUAAUUACAAGACUUGCGAUGUUAUCUUUAGAAUUGAAAUAAUUUGAAACACACUCGAUAAACAAUUUAAGAAACCUAAGAGUCCCAAUGUCAAUGCACGAUGUGCACCGUGUAUCAUCUCCAGCGUACCUUGCCGACGGGGACCUUCGCUGCAGCAGUAGGAGCAGGACAAAGUGAACCCAAAGGAACAGGCGAAGCGCGUCUGCCUCCAGGUCAGCCCUUUGUCUAUCUUGAAAAGUGGAGCUGGUUGCGCUGAUCACACGGAUUCCCACAUCAUUAUCUAGAAGCAAGAAAUCAUAUAUUCGUUACAUCGCGACGUUUACUGGCAGUCCUCCGAAGGCAUAAUGUUUCUCAGUGAUUUCUUCCUUGUCAUCAAUUAAAGGUAAAUCAAAAGUUACUUAGCUAUUCCCGCGGAUGCUUUGUGGCACUUCAAUCCAAUCUCUUGGAAAUACGUGUGAAUGGAGAGUGACAGUCAGGAGGAUGACAGAGAAAGGGGGUAAUUCCCUCCCCCCAGAUGCAGACACAUCAAAUUGACAAUGGUUUAAUAUUCCAACAAGGGCAGGCAAUAGACAGGUCAAGACAGGCAGGGGUCAGUAAACCAGAAUUGGGGCAACGGUACCGGAUGGCAGGCCGGCUCAGGGGCAGGCAGAGUGGUCAGGCAGGAGGGCUCAGAGUCAGGCAGGAGGGCUCAGAGUCAGGACAGACAAAACCAGGAGCACGAGAAAAUAGAGACUGGGGAAAAGCAGGAGCUGACCCCCCCCCAAAAAAUAAAAAUGCUGGUUGACUUCGCA